GCCUCUAUAGCUCAGUUGGUUAGAGCACUGCACCAGAAUCGCAGGGCCGUAGGUUCAAUUCCUACCAGAGGAC
rnacentral:tRNA from 1 species